UACGGAGGGUGCGAGCGUUGUCCGGAAUCAUUGGGCGUAAAGGGCGCGUAGGUGGCGGCUUAAGCGUGCGGUGAAAGCUCGGGGCUCAACCCCCGAGUCGGCCGUGCGAACUGAGUCGCUUGAGCACUGUAGAGGCAGGCGGAAUUCCGGGUGUAGCGGUGGAAUGCGUAGAGAUCCGGAAGAACACCGGUGGCGAAGGCGGCCGCUGGGCAGUAGCUGACACUGAGGCGCGACACGUGGGGGAGCAAACAGGG
rnacentral:rRNA from 1 species